AUGUAUACCGAGUGUAGACAAUAGCAGAGUAAUAGCACACUGCAUGCUUGGAUGAAAUGAGAGAUGGAGAAAAGAUGGUGGAAUGGCAUUAUAUAUAUGUAUGUGAUUCAACAUGACACAUGGUGACAACAGGUGGUCAUGACUGGCAUGGAAGAAGCAUCUGUUUCAAGCAGGAAAGAAAGGUCGGACAUUCAGAACAUGACUGAAGAUUGUGAACACGACUGAAUUCUUGGCAAGCAAGAUGAACAGAAGCAUUUGCAGGUUAGGAGACGAGGAGGACCCUGGAAGGGCUGGAGAGCAGAAGACAGCCAAGAAGAGUGCCAGCAACUUGGGGAUCCUAGUUCCUUAAAAGAAAGGCAAGACUGAGGAGGAUCCUGAAGCCACGCCACUUCCUUUGAGGUACAUGGGCCAUGACCGUGAAAGCAGCUAUUUCGUCGAGUUCAGCUCAAACCCCAUCUCUUGUCUUGGCCUUUGGGACCACUCAAGUCUACCAGGUUGGAUCUCUUUGAGGAAGGGCAAAACCUUGCAAAGGGCUUCCGUAAAUAUCUGAUAAUUGAGAAAUUGAUGUCAAGUGGAUUGGCUGCUGUAAACAGGUUUCUACAAUAAAUUGGUACUGCACAAAAAUAUUUGGAUGCUGUCUGGAAAACAACUUUUACAAGGUCUCCAACCGGCUUCCAAUGUUUUCAAGUAUGAAAACAUCGCUAGGCUUUCACAACAGGCUGAUGGAUCCCUGCAGGUAACAUUUCUCUUGUUUAAAAGUCCUGCCAAUUAAAUCAAAUUAGAGAUGAAUUUUUACCUCUGUGAUGAAGGAAAUGCUCAUUAUAAGAGAAAACAAGAAAAUGGGAUAUUUCCCUUGAGUGAAAUGUUGUUUUAAAUUGGAUAAGUUGGGAGUUAGGGACAGGGAUGGCCAAACACCUCCAUCAAUAUUCUAAAACACCUCCUUCUAAACCGUCAUGCCAGUCAUUUGAAAGUAAUUUAAGGAAACAAUCUAUAGCCAGCGUAACAAAAUGUUUGCAUCUCUCUUUUCUUUUGAUGGUAUUCUAAGCAAUAUUUCUAUGUAUUUAAAAACUCCAAGGUUUUUGAAGGUAUCUUUCUUGAUGUCAUCUCUUGUUUGGGGGCCACCUUUUAACCUCUAAGCGGUCUGUCUUCUGCUUUUGUAGGAAGUGAUAAACACCCACGCAGAUCUAUUUGCACAUUAGGACAGUCCUUGCUGGUCUAGUUAUGCUCUUUAUAUGUGUGAUAUACUGUUUUACAUAAUUUGUGAAAUUAUUUGCUUUCCGGGACCAGAGAUCAGUCAUAUAUGUUAGAAGGUAAUGACCAGUUUAUCGACUUUAACAAAAAACGCCCACACCAAGUCGACUGUUAAUUUGGCUCAUCACCAUCGACAAAUGUUCCCUUGAACAAAAUCGUGACUGUUUCCUUGUAACUGCAUCAUACAUUUGAUGAAAUAAUGGAAUCGGAAUGAAUUCCUACCACAUCAGAUAAAGUAAAAUCAUAGAUCAUAAGGCUCAAAUGGCUACAGAUUUAUUUUGGGAUUCAUUAAUUGCUGACAGUACCACCAGCAUUUUCUCAGCCAUGGCCAAAGCACAUCAAAAUGACGAAUUUUUAACUUGAGUACCCUUGGGAUGACUGGGAAACCUCUUUCUGUAUAGAUAGACAACAGCAGCUACAAAUGACCUUAAUGGAAAAUUUGUUUCAACAACGUUUUUAGCAGAUGAUCAGAAAGGAUGAGCACAGUGUACAAGCAUUUGAACCUCAGUACAGGCAUGGACAUUUGGAGAUCUCUCCUGAAAUCGAUUAGGGCUCCAAAAUCUUUAGUCACUACCUAUAUAGCAUGUGUACGUAAACUUAUGGUCACAUACGUCAAUAAUUUAUAUUGGUGGUAUACAUUAUUCUCCUUGAGAUAAUGCAUUGAUGAUCAGAAUCUCAUCGGUGUUACAUCUGCUAUAAUGGUAUCUUCCUAUAUAGUCAUGGAAUUAUAUUCAUUCAUUCCUUCUUUGGGGUAAUGGAAGAAGCCCCGGCAAACACCCAAACUUAGUUAAAAAUCCAAGCAGCCUCUUCUUUGAUGGAUUGCACCUUGAAAACCCCAUUCCUCUGCCCUCUAGAACAGGCAGUGAGUCCUCUGCGUGUGAAUUCUUGCCCCUUGGAGAGGAGAGGAAUCCACCGGAGCACACAACAAGCACCUUUUAAGUCCACAAAGAAGGAAAUUGUGAAUGCCAUUAAAGCAGUCUAGGAGAUACAACCACGCUGGAUGGUUUUAUUGUAAAUCCCUUUACCUUAAAAGCCAUGCAGUAGGUAAGCUAGUCUCGGGUGAUGUUGGGUGACCCCUGGAAGCUCUUACUCCUGCUUGCUGGAAAUCUGAGAAAACGCCCUUUGCACUCCAAGCAGAAUAGCCAGAGGCAGACUAGAGAUAAGUUACAAGCUCUCGCUUUUAGUCAGAGGGGUUUUGUUAGGUAUUAGAAGUUAAAUUUUCCUAGGUUCCUGAUCAUAGAGGUUGAUACAUUUUCCAAAGGCACAACAAAGCAUCCUUUCAGGUCACCACUGAUUUGAAAAUAAAACAAAGCCAAAACAAGCCAGAAUUUCCUGAUUCGGUGUGUAAAAGGUCAACAUCUGCUGAUGCUCAGAGAUGGGGGAUGUGGCGGAGGCGGCUGGAUGGGAUGUGGGGUGAGCAGGACAGUCAGAGGGUCCAUGCAACACACGACGGACACUCCCAACAGAAAGACACCCCAGCGCCAAAGAACUACUUUUCCAUCCAUCCAUUUCUGAAACUUGUGACGGGCCAGACCACUAGAGCAGGCUCAAUAACUUGUCUCGGCUUCCCUGCCUUUGGUUCCCGGUUGCUCUAAAACGCAGGUGCAAAUGCGGUUGUCAAGGCCUGAAAGGAGCACCUCGUGGCGUGUGUACUCUGAUAGGCCAAUGCCAAGGCGGGAACGAAAGCAGAAAAAUCAGACUAUUCGAGCUCAGCGUUCCCAUCUGCAAGUGUGUAUCACUGAUAAUGUUUCAACAAGACGCUGUAGCACCAGGCUGGGAUCUAAAUGGACGUGAACACUGUUUCUACGUGCAGAGUAGCAGAUGUUCACGGCACUGACCACAUCGAGUUGUUAACAAUCGGCAUCCAGGCCUAUUCCCCAGCUUAAGUCAACUGGGUGGAUUUAUACAUUGAAGGACCUGACUGUGCAUUUAUAAGAAGUAGGAAGUUGUUUUAUCCGAAUUAUCGGAAUACCGCGUUUUAGAUGGAUGCUGGGUAUCGUAAUUCUUCAACUGCUGCUAUUUAUACUGCGAUCACCCUGCUUGGCACAGCACUACCGUGCGAGCCUGUGAGGGAUGACACCACAGUGAAAACGCCUCCCUUACAGUGCAUUAUCUUGGCUUCCUCGGGACUUUAUUUCGAAUCAGUUAUUCAGCUUUUGUUACCAGGUUUUAGCCAUCGGAGAUAAAGGGUACAAUAUAUAAAAACAUGCACAAUUCUGUUCUGAAAAGAUACUUUCUGCCGAGCAUUUCAGGGUUGGUGCGAGGGUAUCAUUGCUCUGCGUGCACAGGGACAGACAGCCUGGUUCUCCCACUGAGGCUGGGAGAACAUUCUUUGAGGUGAGAUGGAGACGUGUUCCUCAGAGGCUUGGAGGGGGAUUUCUCUUUAAUUGCUUCGAUUUCUAGCAGGAUCUUCUAGCACUCUGAAUCCUAAAUUCUGCAUGUAUUUUUUUAUACCCCUUCUCUACCAAACUUAAACCUUAGUAGUCAAGGAGACACGACUCAUGGUAAUUUGGGAGGGUGAAAGGGAGGUACUGGUUCUCUUUCCCCUUUAUCCCUCCAGAGACACGCGUGCUCACAAACCUGCCUCUUUCAGGCCUUUACAAAGUCUAGCGCUUAAUACAUUCACAAAAUUCGUUUUCCCCAAUCUCCUAGCCUUUCCCUUGAAUUCUGAUGAAUAUGCCCAAGGCGUUCAUUCUCUGCUUUUCUAAAUUACACUGGAAAUCCACAUCCAGUCCUAGGGAGAGAGAGAGUCCAAUUUGUUUGUCGGUUACUAAGGAUGGGUAAAUAGGACUAUUUGUAUUUUUGCUAAAUAGGUUACGGUUAUCUAAGUAAUUGCACCUCUGUCCCGGUGGCCUUCAUUGGUCAAAAGGAGUCAGGAAAACAUUGGCAGUGCCACCUCCACAGGAGUCUUAGGCAUAAAUAGCUACUUUAUCUGUGCCUGUAGCAUUAUCUGGGCAGAAAAUUAACACAAAAAUGCAAGUCACAAAGAAAGCCCCCUAUGACACCAGAAAUGGACACUGGGAAAAUAGCUCUGAGGAGCUGAGCCACAAAGCGAAGCUAGCCUACACUGGGUUUGGUGAGUGUUUUACUUACUACCGAUACUGGAGAUACUGGGGAUACCUGGAGGGAAAGAAAACAAUAAAGACAGGCUGUUAGCUGUGGGUUAGCACCCGGCAUCUUCAGCAUCAUCUACAAAUCUGAGUCAUUUGACAUUACUUAACACUCACGCCACUAGGAAAUGGAAACAGAAAACACUCCGAAUAUCCAGCAUGUAUGGAUUCAGUUUAGAAACCAUUUUUCUUUCAUUCUAGAACUCCUGGGCUCAUCGGAGUUGAGAAGUUAACGCUUGAUUUCAACAGCUGGUUCAAGAAAGCCUUGUGACGGCACCCAUUUCAUGCUUGCAUGUGAAGUUAACAUUUGCAUGUGGUUCAAAACAGAUAUUGAGCUAGGCUUACAUUCCGGGCAGAGAGUACCAAAUAGACACCGUGUGGACCUCUCAAAACAUACCCACACAUGCAGCAGAUCUUUUUAAACGUGUUGGGAAGCAUGUGUGAGCUGUAUUAUCCGGCACUUUCUUUGAUUAAUUUCACAGCACCAUCCUUUUUAUUCCUCUUUUACUUGUCAGAUAUGUGGAUUAAACUCCAUAAUAGGAACUAAUUGAGCAGAAUCAUUCAAGAAUACAUUAGGUUGUUCACAUCGAUCAUGGACAGCAUUGAUUUUUCAGCUUGCAUUUUAAUUCAUAACUUGCUCUAAGGCAGUGGGACCAUUUCAAAAUGUGGCUGGACUUGGUGGAAAUGUGAACCUGAAUUUAGUCUGUACCCAGAUUAAAGCUCCUAACCAAGCAAUCAUGGGUUGUGACCAAGGGCAGAGGCUCAUGAGCUGGGAUGUCUGGGUUUGCAGCUUGAGUUUAACUCCUAAGUUUCACUGAUUGUGUGACCUUGGGGCCUCAGAGGCUCAGUUUCCUACCUCAUGGGGUUGUUGAGAGGAGUUUGUAAACCGUAGAGUUAAAGCUCUCAGAACAUUGGGUGACGGGUAGUAUGUGCUGUAUCUAUCUUUGCUAUAAUGAGUUUUACUGGUGUAGCUGCCUCGUAAAGCAGCACCAGAGAUUUAGACUCUUGCUAAUUAAAAACCAGAGAUUUAUACUCUUGUCCCUAGAUGAGGGUAGCACCGUGAGUGGGAGCCUGAGAUGGGAAUCCGGUAGACCUGAGUGGAGAGUUUUGCUUGGUUACUGAAGAGUUGGGUGAUUUUAGGCAAGUCCCCCAGCUUCUGUGUAUCUGCUUCCUCAUCUGAAAAGGGACUGAUAAUAUCUCCUACAUAGGGCUGCUGCGGGGAUUGAAUGAGAUAAUCCAUAAAAAUGUCUAGCACAUGGUAUGCAGCCAAUAAUUGAUAGCUUUUAAUGAGCUGUUCAGACUUGUCCUCCACAUCGCUGAGCUGUAAGUAAAAGGUGGCAACUGUUUCUAAGCUUCUAUUUUAGUAUUUAUCUUUCAACAACUGCCCUCUGCUUACGUUAACUAGUCAUUGUACCUUACUCAAAGAUUUCUAGCCUUGUGUUCUCCAAAGCCGAGAGCUAUUUUCCUACUUCUUAGUGAGGAGAAGAGAAU